rnacentral:rRNA from 1 species
UAAUGUAUGGGGAUCUGCCCGAUAGAGGGGGGUAACUACUGGAAACGGUGGCUAAUACCGCAUAAUGUCUACGGACCAAAGCAGGGGCUCUUCGGACCUUGCACUAUCGGAUGAACCCAUAUGGGAUUAGCUAGUAGGUGGGGUAAAGGCUCACCUAGGCGACGAUCUCAGCUGGUCUGAGAGGAUGAUCAGCCACACUGGGACUGAGACACGGCCCAG